rnacentral:rRNA from 1 species
UUGGUCUGGGACAACCAUAGGAAACUGUGGCUAAUACCGGAUAUGACCCCAUUAACUACGGUUUAUGAGGUAAAAGAUUUAUCGCCAUUAGAUGGGUCCAAGUCGCAUCAGGUUGUUGGUAGGGUAAUGGCCUACCAAGCCUAUGACGCGUAGCAGGUCUUAGCGGAUGAUCUGCCACAUGGGGACUGAGAUACGGCCCUGACUCCUACGGGAGGCAGCAGUGAGGAAUAUUGGGCAAUGGACGCAAGUCUGACCCAGCGAUGCCGCGUGAAGGAUGAAGGCCUUAGGGUUGUAAACUUCUGUCAGCAGGGAAGAUAAUGACGGUACCUGCAGAGGAAGCCCCGGCUAACUCCGUGCCAGCAGCCGCGGUAAUACGGAGGGGGCAAACGUUACUCGGAUUUACUGGGCGUAAAGGGUCCGUAGGCGGUUUUUUAAGUUAGAUGUGAAAGCUUGAAGCUUAACUUCAAAAUUGCAUCUAAAACUGGAUAACUAGAUUAUUGGAGAGGUUGAUGGAAUUACCGGUGUAGCGGUGAAAUGCGUAGAUAUCGGUAGGAACACCAGUGGCGAAAGCGAUCAACUGGCCAAUCAAUGACGCUGAGGGACGAAAGCGUGGGUAGCAAACAGGAUUAGAUACCCUGGUAGUCCACGCCCUAAACGAUGAAUACUAGAUGUAGGAUUUUUUCUGUAUCGUAGCUAACGCAUUAAGUAUUCCGCCUGGGGAGUACGGUCGCAAGGCUGAAACUCAAAGGAAUUGGCGGGGACUCGCACAAGCGGUGGAGCAUGUGGUUUAAUUCGAUGCUAAGCGAAGAACCUUACCAGGGCUUGACAUGUAAGCAUAAGCUUGCGUGAA